GACGAACGCUGGCGGCGUGCUUAACACAUGCAAGUCGAACGAGGCCCCUCCUUCGGGAGGGUGUCCUAGUGGCGAACGGGUGAGUAACACGUGGGCAACCUGCCCCCGGCUCUGGGAUAACCCCAAGAAAUUGGGGCUAAUACCGGAUAUGACCGCUGACCGCAUGGUCGGUGGUGGAAAGUUUUUUCGGCUGGGGAUGGGCCCGCGGCCUAUCAGCUUGUUGGUGGGGUAGUGGCCUACCAAGGCGACGACGGGUAGCCGGCCUGAGAGGGUGACCGGCCACACUGGGUCUGAGACACGGCCCAGACUCCUACGGGAGGCAGCAGUGGGGAAUAUUGCGCAAUAGGCGGAAGCCUGACGCAGCGACGCCGCGUGGGGGAUGACGGCCUUCGGGUUGUAAACCUCUUUCAGCAGGGACGAAGCGAAAGUGACGGUACCUGCAGAAGAAGCACCGGCCAACUACGUGCCAGCCGCCGCAGUAA
rnacentral:rRNA from 1 species